rnacentral:rRNA from 1 species
GAUGAACGCUGGCGACGUGCCUAAUACAUGCAAGUCGAGCGAACAGACGAGGAGCUUGCUCCUCUGACGUUAGCGGCGGACGGGUGAGUAACACGUGGAUAACCUACCUAUAAGACUGGGAUAACUUCGGGAAACCGGAGCUAAUACCGGAUAAUAUAUUGAACCGCAUGGUUCAAUAGUGGAAGACGGUUUUGCUGUCACUUAUAGAUGGAUCCGCGCCGCAUUAGCUAGUUGGUAAGGUAACGGCUUACCAAGGCAACGAUGCGUAGCCGACCUGAGAGGGUGAUCGGCCACACUGGGACUGAGACACGGUCCAGACUCCUACGGGAGGCAGCAGUAGGGAAUCUUCCGCAAUGGGCGAAAGCCUGACGGAGCAACGCCGCGUGAGUGAUGAAGGUCUUCGGAUCGUAAAACUCUGUUAUUAGGGAAGAACAAAUGUGUAAGUAACUAUGCACGUCUUGACGGUACCUAAUCAGAAAGCCACGGCUAACUACGUG